rnacentral:rRNA from 1 species
GACAGAGGGUGCAAACGUUGCUCGGAAUCACUGGGCGUAAAGGGCGUGUAGGCGGGAAGGAAAGUCAGAUGUGAAAUCCCUGGGCUCAACCCAGGAACUGCAUUUGAAACUCCCUUUCUUGAGUACCGGAGAGGAAAGUGGAAUUCCUGGUGUAGAGGUGAAAUUCGUAGAUAUCAGGAGGAACACCGGUGGCGAAGGCGGCUCACUGGCCCGAUACUGACGCUGAGGCACGAAAGCGUGGGGAGCAAACAGG